GCCCAUGUAGUAUUAGUACUCCACGUUGUGGCCGUGGCGACGCAGGUUCGAUUCCUGCCAUGGGCA
rnacentral:tRNA from 1 species